UUUUUUUUUUUUUGCACUUUUGUUGAAUUACUAAAAAAAUUUAUAUAGGGUGCGCUGGCCCCCGAGAGCACCCAUGUAUUUUCCGUUGGAGUGGCCCUUACACUGUUACACAAUAGCCUAACCAAAGCCGCACUCAUCGUCUCAUCCCCCACCAUAACUCGACUAAAAGUCAAAGCAAAAACCUAAAUCGCAGCAGGAAGGCGACGGCGACGCGCCGAUGGGCAACGCCGGAAGCAGCGGCCGCCCCAACCUGCCCCCGCCGCGGCCUCAUCUACACGGGGUGCCCCCGCCGUACUACCACCAGUACCCGCCAUGGCGCCCGGGCGCCGCCGCGCCGCCGCCGGUGCCGUUCCCCACGCACGUGGAGCGGCACAGGGCCGUUGCGGUGAGCGCCGGCGUCAACGUCAAGGGGCAUACCCUGCGGCUGGACCGCGACGACGACGGCGGCCACCUGCUCGCCUUCUCCUUCGACGCCGACGCCCCCGGGAGGUCAGCCCCCCCACCCCCCUGCCCCCCUCGUACUCUUCUCUGUUUUGCUGAUUAGACGGAGACCUGUAGUGUCGUUGUGGACCCUUGUGGCCGAUCAUUGGGCUUUAUCCCGUGAUGAUAUUAGUUAGCCAGUGUGGAAUUUCUGCCGUCAUGUACAUAUUUUGUUGGAGCCAUGAUGCUUUCAUAUUUGGUUGGAGCCACAUGAUACUUUUGUUAUGUAUUUUGUUGUCCAUUUGAACAAAACUGGGACAUUCUGUGUCAGUUUUCUGAAUUCUUCAUAUUUGAGUCCGAGUAACAAGAAGCAGUAACCUGUAGAAACAGAUUUAGGCACUUAUGACUCAUGUAUGUGCUUGUCUUGGUCAAGAAUGGACAUCUUCACUUCAUAUAUUAGAAUACUGUAUAUUAUUUGCACGGCUUGUUGUUAAAGGAACUAGUAGGUCUAGGUAUGGAAUCUGAACUUAAUCAUAUUCAUCUGGGUGGGAAAAUGAAAAACUCAGGGCACAUGAGGUUAAAUUAAAUGGAGAUUUAAUGGUCUUGGGCUGUGUACUACCUUCUGUAAUUUUACCAUGGCAAAGCCAUACUUAAUGAGAUUCUCCAAAUGCAUGCCUGGCUCUGUCCCAUUCCGAGGUUUGGCUAUCCCUACGUUAUGCCCAUUUGUUGCAUAGUGUUUAGUAGCAUCUCAUGCUUUGUACCUGUGUACCGCGUCCCCUGCUUCUUUUAAUAUUUGGAUGACAAGACUGUCAUGUUAUUUUAAUCAAAUACUGACUCUUAAUUUCUGAUCCUGCAAACAGUAUAACAGUUUACUUCUUUGCACAAGAAGGUGAUGACUGUGUCCUGAAGGGUACAAAGGAAAAUUUGCUCAAACCUGUCACGGUAACAUUUAAGGAAGGUCAUGGUCAGGAGUUCAGGCAACCAAGUGGAACUGGAAUUAAGCUCUCAAUGUUUGAGGAAUCUGAGCUAACUAAGGUUGGGGAGGAUCGUGUAUUUCCUCUCGCAUUCAAAGUGGAAGUGGGUGUGCCAAGCAAGCAAGAGUUAGAAAAGAAACAUGAUGCCGAAGACUCGAAGUCUUUGGUUAAAUUUGCUGUGUUUGUUAAGAAAGACAGUGCUGAAUAUGGGAUCAACAUUGUGCAGCAGAUACUGUGGGUAAAUGGAACUAGAUAUGUCUUGCAGGAGAUAUACGGUAUUGGGGACAGGAACACAGCUGACAGGAAUGUAAAUGAGGAUGAUUCUGGGAAAGAAUGUGUGGUUUGUCUUACAGAACCAAGAGAUACAACUGUCCUUCCAUGCAGGCAUAUGGUAGGUUAUCCUUUCCUACUAAAUGCUCUUUAGAUGUAUAGAUGUAGAUAUAAGGCUUAUGGCUAUUGAGACUUGUUUUAAAUGUAAAAAUUGAUAACCCUUUCUUCUUAAAGACAACUAUGAUAGAAAUAGGCUUGGCAAGAUUAGUUAUAUUACACCUGUCCUCAAAUGUUGACAUCCUAGAAAGCGUGUUGCCAAAAAGUUCUAACUGUAAAUACUAAUAUAUAAAAAUUGGUUUGGCAAGGUGAAAAUAAUAUUAUAUAUUUGCUGAAUAAUAUUGUCAUAAUGUAAUAUUAUACUUCUCUUCUAACAUGUACAAAAAACAAUGAUGAAAGAUGAUUGCUGGAGGUCAUGUCACUGUUUAAAACAUCAUCUAUUUUUAACAGAGUUAGUAUCAGUUUUGUAUAGUUCUUGGUUCUCAUUUCAUUGUGGAAUUUUCUGUAUUGAUUUUCGUUAAACUCGGUAGUGGAAGGUGGGUAUCCUACUGCUAUAUGAGUUAGUGGUGGUGACAUUGUAGGAAAGCCAUGUAAUUUGAUAGGAAGGUAGGAGUUCAACAUAAUAAUAUGACAGCCCCAUGCAUGUUCAUCAUUGCAUAUUUAGCACUAAAAAGUACACAGAGUUGCUGUGCAAUCCACUCAGGAAUCUAGUUAGCACGCAUUGGAAUAUGAUUUGUUUCUUAUCACGAAAGUUUACUAAGUCUCGAUAUUUAGCCAGUUACUUGUAAUAUCCAUUUCUUCUUCUUUCUAAUUUGUCUGAUGCUUGUGAUUUUGGCAAAGAUGCAUUUUGCAUGUUGCUUCCAUGCUUUCGUGAAAAAUUGACACACAGACGAACGAACAACUACAAAAUGUACUUGCAUGUAACAUAGUUUUAAACACUGCAAAAUCUUCAAAGUUACAUCCAGCAUGGGCAUAUAUGGCAGGUGCAGCAUGGCACAGUAUAUCCUCUGCAAACUGGCCCCUAGCUUGGAACCAAGACAAGAAUAUUAUGUACUUGCAUCGUGUGCCCAACGUUUCUACCUUUUGUCAUACAUCCAGCAGAUAGUACUACAAUCCUGUUUCAUAUAUUCCUCGAAAUGCAACCAUUUUAUCUUAUGUGGCAGAUGAAAAUAAGCCAAAUUUCAUUGACCUGUCAUCUACAUGAAACCAGUGGAACUGAAAAAUCAUGUCCGGUGCUCUUUUGCAGUGCCUAUGCAGGGAGUGUGCUCAGACAUUAAGGUUCCAGACCAACAAAUGCCCCAUGUGCAGGCAGCCUGUUGAGAGCCUUCUUGAGAUUAAGGUUGAUAUCAUGCCCAGGCAUCAUGAAGGAGGAGAUCAGUAGUUUGGAAACCCUCAAUGGAAGUUCCGUUUGAUUGCUAGCAACUGUAAUUGGAUGUAUAUAUAUAUCGCGUGUUAAAAUGAAAUUACUGUGCUUUCGGUGAAGAACAUAACAUGAAAGGUAUGCACUAAGCUGACCGUGAUGUUCUCUUUGCGGGUGACAUGGAAUUUAAAACAGGCAACAUCUAUUGUCUGGUCUUGAGCUUUCAAAUCUACGACUGGUUCUAACGUUACACAUAGCUCUGUUGAAGGUUUCCAUUCCAUUUUCGUUUACCAAGUGUUAUGUCUGCAUCUGUUUAGCAUGUUUGUGUUUUGUUUGUUGCGAAAAUCAUUCGUAUUGGAACAUGAAUGAGAAAACCUGGUCAGUAUAAAAUUUGAGAAAAUCUGGUCAGUAUAAAUUUAUAAAUAUCUGAGAAAAUCUGGUCGACAUAAAUAUCUAGUGAUCUUGUUGAUUAAGAUUAAGAUAGGAUUGAUUGAGGACCUGCUGCAGGCAGGAUUCAUUCCCCUAGAAGUAAAAACAACAUGUCAACAAGAACUGGGACAGAUUCAUUGCAAAAGGAAAAAAAAAAGAUGAACCUUCAGAGUUCAGAUUGUAUACAACAUGCAUUUUUUGAGAGAAGUGCAUAUAUCAACGUUCAACUCUUGCCCUAGUCUAAUCUACAACUCUCAACUAUAAUACCGUCUAGAAAUCAACCCCAAACUCUUAUAAUCAGGAUUCAACCCUCUCCUCCCCACACCUUGGUUUUGACAUAGUUGACCGGUUUUGACCCGUCGACCAUCCAGUCAACAAGCCAUGUCCGCAAAAUUUUCAAAAUUUCCAGGGAAAACCAAAAAUAAAUCUGGAAAAUAAAAAAUUUCCAGAAAAAACAAAAAAUAUUUCUGUAAAAAUUUUAAAAACAAAUAAAUUAUGUAGCAUAAUAAACAAAAGUGAUAAUAUUCUGCCCAAUUUUUGCGAAAUUUUGUCAAAAAACUUAAAUUUUCCAUAAUUUUUUUAAAAAAUAUAUAAAAUCAAGAAGACAAUGGUAAGCAUUCUGCGAAAGUUUCAACUUUUUUUCUUAAAAAUAAUGAAAAGUAUCGUCAAAUGACAAUUUUGCCCAAUGUUUUUUAUUUUUUUGUAGAAAAUCAUUAAACUUAGGAAAACAAUACUAAGAAUUUUAGGAAACUUUCAAAAAAAUUAAGUUAAUGAAAAUUAUUGUGAAAUUUCAUUUUCCCAUAAUUUAGAAUUUGUUUGUUUUAAUUUUUAGUUUAAGAAAAUGUAUAUAAGGUUUUUCUGGAUUUUUUUUUACAGAUUUUUGUAUUUCUCUGGAAAUUAUGAAUUUUUGCUGAAUGGCUUGCUGACUGGAUGGUCAAUGAGGUCAAAACCAGGGUGUGGCGAGGGGAGGGAUGAAUCUUGACUGGUUUCAAGAGUUCGGCAUUGAUUCUUAGACAGUAUUACAACUGAGGUUUGUAGAUUAGACUAGGGCAAGAGUUCAAGAGUUGAGAGUUGCACUUCUCUCGCAUUAUUUUCCCAAGCUAAAAAAAGAGUUGACAACCGAUGAACUUGGCCUUUUUUAGGAAAAUCACCGAGGAAUUUGUUUGGCCCUUGAUAAGUGUCACACGUGUGGCACGACUACAUGUCACCUCCGAACAUUUUUUAUUACAAGUUUAGUGACGCGAGGAUGGCAACUUUAAUUGUUAAGCAUGGCAAUUUUCAUUUUGGAUGACAAGUUUCAGUUUUUUGAGGGUUGGUUUUUUUUCUUUUCAGAUGGAAAAUUUAGUUGUAAAAAACGUCAAGGCCGGAAUCCUUUGCGCCACACGCGUGGCAUUUAUCAUUUGAGUUUUCUUUUUACCCCUAAAAAAGUUGAGUUUGUUUUUAUUAGGGGAAAACAACGAGGAAACGAAAGUGAACACCUUUCGAUGGGCCCAGGAAUCACCGUUAUCAGCCCAAAGCCCAAACCAAGCAAAGAAGAGAAAGAGACAGAGAGUCGUCGGCUUGUUCCCGGAGAGGAAAACCUCGCCGCCGGCAUCGACCGGCCGCCCCCGCCGUGACAGGUGAGAAUCGCGGCGCGUUUCUCGCUGCUUGCUUCGCCCGCCCGUUGUUCCCCUGGUCCUAAUCGGAAGCUGCCGCGCUGCGCAGUAGACGCGCGCAUAGCUGCUGCGGAAGCCAUCGAUCGAUUCCUCAAUCCCCAGCACUUGUUACCGAAUCGCCCGACCCAACUUGGAAUUCCUAGGUUUCCAUCUCCCCCCGAGAGCUCCGGACCACCGCGCGAGCAGGAACCAGAAGGGUAAUGGACAGAGGAGGCGACGGCUCUGAUCUGGAGCUGCAGAAGCAACAAUGGGCGAGGUCUGUAUAUGCCAUUGCUAGUUCCAAUCUACUUAUCGAUUCCAUAAACUUCCCAUUCAGUUCAUCUCCGGUUGAAUCAAAGGGAGUAGAUUCGAUUCAUGUUGUCCGGUGAUGCAGGACGCAGGAUGCGCUCAAGGGCAGGCUCGUUCUCGAGGAUGAUUUCGAGUGGUCUUUACCUUCGGUGAGCUCGAACUCGGACCAGAGUGAUGCCAGGGGCAAGCUGAAGUAUAUAGGUGGGGUUGACAUUAGCUUCCUCAAAGAAGACCCUUCCACGGCGUGUGCCGCGGUGGUGGUUCUGGACGCCGAUGCCUUGGAAAUCGUCCAUGAGGAGUUCGAUGUUGUCCGGAUGCAAGUGCCGUACAUUCCUGGUUUUCUUGCUUUCAGAGAGGUAUGGCACACCAUAUACAUAUACGCUCUUUUUCGUUGAAUUUGUUUGGAACAGUGAAAAUAUAGACACGUGCAGUUUAUCUAUGGUAGACACUUUGUUCUUCAGUUUAAUUUGCUUUGACAGUAAGUAAGUAACAUAAAUUUUUGGACUACUGUUGUAUCACUGAACAAUCUUGUCUUACUUGCAUCAGUGGUACAAAGUUUAUUAUGUUUGGACAGUAGUCUCAAAGGUGCAAAUCAGGCUGGAAAAGAUUCACUCAGUGUUAUUUGUUACGUGCUCGACAUGCCUUCAGCUUAUUGUUAUCUCUAGAGUCAGAAGUGAGUCUUGUAUUGCCAGGGCAAUGUCUAGUUAUCAUAGAACAUAGGAGAGGUGAUCGUGAUUGACUUUGCUUCCUUGUUUGGUUGCAAACAUCUGUGAUCAUUUAUAUUUCUUGUAUGCUUUCAGUUUAUGUACCCGCAUGUAUCAUAUGUAAGAAAACCAUCUACCGGUGCAGGCUCCCAUUCUUCUUGGACUCCUGGAGAAGUUGAAGAUCAAUGCUCAACAUUUCUACCCUCAGGUAAAUAUCCUCUGUGGUGCUUGCAACUGUACUGAUCUUAGAUUUGGUGCUCUGUAUUUGGUGAAUAACACUAAUUUAAAACAUGAUGUUCUGUAUAGCAUUUUUGUUAGCAAACAGGAACUUCCAUAGAAGAGAAAAAUGCAAGCAUGCUUAAGUAGAUGACAUCACUUGCCCAAAUGUCAGCAUAAGGGAAUAGGAACUAGAUGUAAAGAUUUUUUGUCUUGCAAACAGGAUUACUGAGGAUAUAUUCUGAAGUAUCUCAUGGCGUUGCGUGCCUUAUUUCCUGUUGGUGUGCCUGUGAUGACGAGAACAAAAAGUACAGUACUAUGCAGGCAGAGAAUUCGUUUUGGAUUAAAAUCUCAUGUGAAUUUACAUUUUAGAUAUCACAGUAGUAGUCUUUAUAAAUCAACAUGUAGUAAUCAUCUUUCUUUGCCAGUGCAUUUUCUAAGGUUUUUAUCGUUCUUCUUUGGCAGUUACUCAUGGUUGAUGGAAAUGGGUUACUCCAUCCACGAGGUAACAGAUCAAUUACAGUCACCCUUAUGCACUCUUUACAGUUUUAAAGUAAUAGUAUGGUGCGGAUAGCAAGUUUGGCACUAGUAGAAAAAGCUGCACAAGUGAAAUUAGGUUCUAGAAUCAUAUUAUAUGUACGCGGUGUUAUUGGAUUUCUUUUUCAUCGAUCUUAGUUCGUAAGACUAAGGCUAAGGUGAUUUCUGUGUUUAUGAAAGAAUGAGUUCGUUGUAAUCCCUGAAGCCCUUAGCAUAUAAUCUUGAUGAUACAAUACAUCUUGUUAGGUUAUGCAUAUUUGUGGCAAGCUGCAUUAGCUAUAGUCAUUAUAUGUGAAUGGGUCAUCCUCUAAUAAAUAUAUGUUCUGCAGGUUUUGGUUUAGCAUGUCAUCUCGGUGUCCUUGCAGACCUGCCGACCAUCGGAGUUGGAAAAAAUGUAGGUUAAUUUUACUGCCAUUGCAUUUUAUUUUUUAUUUUUUUUGUGUGUGUGUGUCGAGUUCUUCUCCCACAGUUGUACUUUUAGGGAAGACUAAAUCCUCAGUGUUUUCAAUGCCCCAGUUGCACCAUGUGGAUGGUCUUGACCAAUCUGAAGUCAGAAAACAGCUUGAAGGAAAAGGAAACUGCAAUAAGGAAUGUAUUUCAUUGACUGGGCAGUCUGGGACGACAUGGGGAGCGGUAAGAGACUCUAUAUUGCACCAAAAAUUUGUAUUAUAUUGCUAAACGUGUAACGGGGUUUCCUUUCUUUUAUAUACUUCCUGUUAAUGAAAUGUAUGUUUGUUGCACAUGAACCCAAACAACUUGUCCUAGGCAAUGUGUUCAUGCCCUGGUUCAUCGAGGCCAAUCUACAUCUCAGUUGGUCAUCGCAUUUCGCUUGACUCUGCCAUUGGGAUAGUGAAAUACUGCUGCAGAUAUCGUGUUCCAGAGCCUACACGCCAGGUUAAAUUUAAAGAUCAUAUAUCAAGUUUCCACAUGUCGGCAGUUGCAUUUUGUGUACUAAUUGGCCAUUCUUUGCCCAGGCUGAUAUACGAUCGAAGGUAUUCCUCCAAAAGCACCAAAGAUUACAGCAGUAACAAGAUUCGACAAUGGCAAACAGUACCCUUGGGUAGCCUUAUCAUCUUUCUAGCUGAUGUGAAAUUUGAGAAAGAAACUGGCGAGGCAUUGGAACCUCAAGCAACCUCUGUACAGCCUUCUCUAAUACUAGUAUGGAAUUGCAUUUUAUCCCAGAACAGUUUGGCCGUAAAAUAGAUUGUGAUGCCCUUUUUUUAUCAAUAUCUGAAUUUGUACAUCUUGCUGUGCACAUGCCUCGUCAAUUAUUCGCUGCUUUGUGCUGCAUCGGUAUAUCUUGGAGUACAAUUAUUCGCAAAGAAAAAAAAUCUUGCAGUACAAUAAAGCCACAAUGGGAAGACAUUGUACUGCUUUAAUAUCACUAGCAUAUCUUCUACAUUUAAUCUGAUAUUUUUUCUUCUCAAAAGGAUUUUCCCAAUUAUCAACGUAUCUAUCUCUGAUUUACACUUCAGCAAAAGCACUGGUAUAUUACCUUCCAGUACAAUAAAGCCAUGAUCCGAAGGCAUUGUACUGCUGUAAAUCUCAAGCAUAUCUUGCAUUUAAUCUGAUAGAUUUUCUUCUCGAAGGGAUUUUACCAAGAUUAACAGCAUUUUUUUAUUAUUAACCGAAUCUUAUGCUCUUUAAUGCACACUUCCUAUAUAAGCAUGUGGAGACGAGAUACCAGCAGUGCAGCAUAUACAAAUAACACUUUUGCUUAAUUUCCAGAGACCUACAUAGACAACGUUGAGAUGGCUUCAACUUUUCUCUCUGUCAUUUGCAAGAUCCUUGUCAUUGCUGUAGUUUGUGCCGCCCUCCUUUUCUCAUCAGGUAUCUAUCCUCUCUACUCCUCCAUCCAAAUCUGCUUUUGUAAAUUUAAGAUCAGUGCAAUUUUCCAUCUGUACAACCUCUAUUCUUAAAUCAGUUGUGUAAGCUGUAACUGGUUAAAUGCACUAGUCCUCAGAAGUUAGAAGCACUUCUCAUCCAAAUACACACAUCCUGUGACCUGAUAAAACUUCAUUCAGGACAUAUCUUGUUACUUUUCUCUGUUACAAAUUGGACCUUAACGUUAGGGUUUUGGACGCAGGAACGGCGCAGUACAUGUGCAUGGGCAAAUGCGCGGACAUACCCGACUGCGACAACUACUGCAAGACGAAGGGAGUGUACCCCAAGGGAGGGGUGUGCCUGCCCCUCCACCAUUACUGCUGCUGCUACAUUUAGCGGGGUCGGAGGACGUCCCCUUUCCGGCUUUCCCCAUGAAUUUUUGUUAUCAGUCCUCGAUGGCACCUAAAUAAAAUGGAAACACUUUUAUGAAAUUUUAGGGAACUCGCGAUGUUUCUUUAGAAAAGGAGGAUGACCCCCGGCCUCUGCAUCUGGGCGAUGCAUACGGCCAUUUUAUUAAUUAUUCUCACAAGACCCUACAAAGUCAUGCAACAGUAAGACUAAAGCCGCCGUCUAAGCAACAAACUGUCGCUACAUCUAUCCAGUUGAUGAAGGGGCGCAGAUAGCCUGAGCCUAAUACCAAACAGACAUCGCAGCCAAGCCUAACAUCAAAGACCUGAGACCCCAACCUAGCCACUUGCCGGGUCUGGGGCACGCACUGGUCCGGCAUGCUCUCAGAAGCCGCCGUCGUCAACUGCCACCGCUCCAUCUUCAGAACUGUACUGAUGCAUCAACCUUGCUCGGUCUAGCUAUCGUCGACGCCACCAUGGCGCCCAACGGCACCUCCUCCCUGCGCGCAAACAACUGAGCACGUCGCGGUCGCCACUGAUACACCUCAGCAUCAUGCUUCCAAGUACCACCAGCCGACACAGCUUGAAGUCCUUGGAAGAUAUGCCGUGCGUAGCACCUGCCGACCAGGCAUGACAAAGCGUAGCACAUGUCGGUCAGGCAUCACUUACAUCUCCACCGAAGCUCCGUGCAAUACGAAGCCGCUCCACCUCCUGCCUCUGACUUCCAGCGCUGCGACCCAAACGAUGCUCCCAAGAGAGAAACGACACCGCAGUGCCGCCAUCGUCCGAUCUGGAACAACAGAUUCUAGGGUUUCCCUCGGAGCAGCACGAGUGGGCCGACAGUAGUUACACGACGAUGCCUUCAUCAAGGUAACGGCGUAGAACGCCGCCAUCGCCUGCCGUCGGCUCGGUUUUCACCGGCAACCAUGUCUCCCCAACUCGCAGCCGGGACUAGAUGAUGGAUCUCGAGAUCCGAUCACCCAGCUUCUGGCCGGCCAUCGCCGACGAAGAAGAUGACCACCAACACUGGCUACACCGGCCAGAACAGAUCUGCCAUGGGUGCCGCCAAGCAGUCCACCAGGCACUCGACGCCGCCGCCGAUCUAAAGCCAGAAGACAUGCCGCCGAAGACCGCAUCGCGCCGCCGCCCGAUCCAGGCCAGCCGCCGCCGCAGCCGCCCGUGGCCCGAGGCAGGGCCGACCGCCGCCGCCGUCGAAGCCAACACCUUCGCUUGUAGAUCGGCCGCACCUCCACGCAUGUUGGGGCCCCGCCACCCGUGAGACGUGGGAGGGAGGAAGAGCCCCCGCCACCGCCGGCGGCGUCCUCCGGCGGCGGCGGGAGGAGGGGAGAAGGAUGGGCUAGGACCCGGCGGCGGCUAGGGUUGGGGAGCGACCCGAGUCAACCCUCAGGGAACUCGCGAUGUGACUCGUUUUCUUGUUCCAUGAAACAUUUUGCGAAAUAGCUGUACCUAUCUUGGAUUGCUGUUUGGAUUUUACGGUGCCACAAACGGGGCGGAGUUGUUCGUGCUCCCGCAGCUAGAGGAUUCACCACAUGACCAAGGAACAGAACUUCGCCGGUUCUGUCCUUGGUGAUCGCGAACAAGAACGGCCGGUCCACCACGAAAUCCACCGGAGGUUGUAUGUUUCCACCUUGAUCUGUGGGCAUGCCUGUGGUGGCGACAGCGGCAGUGCCCAGCUCGUCGACCUCGAUGGUGGCCUUAUGGUACACUCCGCUGAUGGAGAGCCCGUCACCAUCGGUCACCAUGCCUGAGAAGUCACCGCCUCUCUCUCAUGUCCGACAACGCCUCAAACUCGAACGUGAGCUUGGAACUUGGGGACCAUGCAUGAAACGCCUGGCAGAAACCUUGGCCGCUGGCGUGUAGUUCUUGACGAACUCGUGUCAAGACGAUGUUGCUGUAGAGAUCAGCGAGCUUGACGCUGACGGCGGUGAUGUCCGGGAGAAAUAGAAGCAUGUAGAAUGCGGUUGCUUGCUGCACGUCGUCAUCGUUCUUGUUGCAGUAGUAGGGGCAGCUUCAGAGUCCUGAAGCGAGGGAAGAUGGCGACGUGCUGCCGCGACAGGCUCGAACAGUUGGGACCACGUCCCUUUGAAGUCGAGUGCGUCGACGAGGGCCACCGCCGUCGUCAAGUUGACGGAGCCGGCAGGGAGGACGUUGCCGCCUCGCUUGCUUUGCGUCCAAGAAGUCAAUGGACACCUUAGAGGCUUAGAGGCAGUGCCGCAGCCGGAAGAUGCGGCGGCCACCAUGAACUCCGGUGUGGGCGGCCAACUCUGGUCGAUCCGGACGCCGCACGUCCGCGUCAGGCCGCCGAGCUUGCCGACAAGCUUGGUCGCGGUUGCCGCGGUGCGUUGCAGGUCACCGAGCGACGGUGACCCCAGGAACUGCAGGAGCUCCCUCUGCAUGUCGCCCCGCGCGCCGGCGGCCACGAGCGCGACCGCCGCGUGGAAGGACCGCAGGGAGCGCAUCCCCUGGCCACCCGCAUACGCCGGCCGACCUCCCAGGCGAGCGCGGCACGCCGCCGUCGCCGCGCGGCUGUCCGUUGGUCGACUCGGCGCGCCGGCAAGUGUGGUGACUGCGGUCACAAGAGCGCGACGUCGGGCCCCACGAGGUUAUUGUCGUGAAGCUGACCUGCUACCGCCAUGCGACGAACAUGGCUAAGCACAGCACUCCGUAGCGGAGGGAACAUUAUCGAGGAAACAUUAUUAAGAAAACAUUCUUCAAGGAACAUUAUUGAGGGAACAUUAUGAAGGAAACAUUAUUCAAGGAACAUUGUUGACUUCGGGGAAUAAUUUAUUAUUUGAAGAUCAUUUUUAGAUUUGUAAGAACAUUAUGUUAAUAUAUAUCUAGAACAUUUCUUAAAUAUUAAGAUUAAAGAUUUUUUUAAUUUUGUUUAACAUUUUUUCCGAUAAUGCAUAUCCGAGGGCUUAUUUUUAAGAACACUUUGAAUGAUGAACAUUUUUUUUGUAAAGAACAUUUUUAGGGAACAUUUGUUUUUGAUUUAGGUAACAUUUCUUAAUUAUGAAUUCCAAGAACAUUAUUUAGGGUACAUUAUUCAGGGAAGAAUUGUUUUACUUCAGGGGGGCAUUACUUUAGUUGAAGAACAUUUUUAUACUUCUGAGAACAUUUUAAAAAAAUAUCUAGAACUUAUCUUAAUUAUGAAUUCCAAGAACAUUAUUCAUGGAACAAUUUUUCAGGGAACAAUUGUUUUACUUCAGGGAACAUUAUUUUAUUCAAAAUGUUUUUGGAACAAUUGUAUAAUUACCCAAAUGUUUUUGGUUUUCCUUGAUGAACAAUUGUAUCAUUAAGUAGGUCAACGGAAUGAGUUCGGUGGUGCAGCUACCGGCUGUUGUGUCCAGGGCUAGUUCUUUUUGGUGGCUUCUCCGCCGGCUUCUAAGUUAGGCAUAUGGCCUUGUGUGUUUAUAUGUUGGCUUCGGGCUUGCCCGCUCUUUAGUCAAUUUCUUUCACAAAGGGUGAAUUUUAUUCAUGAAGAUGAAGCAGUAAGUGGAUACAAACAUAAGUGAGAAAAAAGAAAAAAAAACCCGAAAUGAUCGACAAAGGACAACAGUGACCAUACCUGCACCGGUCAUCUCCUGACACCACAAGCACAAUGAGGUUUUCCAAUAGCAAUGCCUACACAAAGUAACGAUGCUCAAGUGGUGUCGUCACUAGACCCAACCACCAGAGACCACAAGUUAUUAUAUUUUUGUUAUUUUGGCACUACUUUCAUGAUUUUUGUUUUGGAUAAUUCCUUUUGCGGAUCCUUACUAUAGUUUGUGAAAAACAUAUUGAAUUCAUGUUUCAACCAACUCAUUCAAAAGUCCGAACUGAUAAAGAGAGGUGGGUAAUAUAUUUCAACACCCCCCCUCACGUCUAGGCUAUCUUAAACUUAAGACCCCUUGACUCGGAUAUCAUAUUGAAUUCAUGCUCCACCUAAUUCAUCCAAAAGUCUGAACUGAUGAGAGAGGCGGGCAAUAUAUUUCAACAAAAUAUUGGUGAGCAAUCCGCUGUCAAAAAACACGCGCGUGUGAAUUUCAGUAAAAAAGUGGACAAUUGGCAGUCUUCCGGUAUUGAUCACGUCCACAUCUUCUUCAGUGGAUCCAAUAAAUACAUGAAAAUGAUACCGAGCAAAGGAGUGGAGUAAUUAAUAGGCUCACGCAUAUCUUCUCACUGCUGUCAUAUGUCCUUUAAUGCCCGGUCUAUAUAAACAUGUUGAGAUAAGAUUCCUCCUGCGAUGCAUCAGCAUAUACUAGACUCAAGGAAGACAUCCAUAUAUAGUUUCCGCAAGAUGGUCGACACUUUUCUCUCUGUCAUCUUCAAGAUCCUCGUCAUCGCGCUGGCCUGUUCUUCCCUCCUCACCCCAGGUAUUUGUGUCGAUCCAUGCCUUGUUAGCUCUUUACCCCUCCAUUGAAAGCCUUCAAUUCCCAUCUAAGAUCAGUGCAGGUUCUCGUGAAUUUCCUAUUUAACCCUAAGAUAAAUGCUACUCCCUCAGUCCCAUAAUAUAAGACGUUUUUGCAAGCUAAUAUAUAUGUUUGAAACAUAGGAUGUUCCUCUGAUUCUACAGAUAUUGAACAAUUUUUUUGUAUAAUUCUCCUGCAUUAUCUUGUGAUUUAACUUUUGAACUGAAUCACUUAAGAGUCUUCACUCGGUUUUAGAAACAUUGUGGCUAUGUACCCGCAAAAAAAAAAGUAACAUUGCGGCUAUGGACGCUUGCAUGCAGGAGAGGGGAAGUAUGUGUGCCAGGGCAAAUGCGAGGACAUACCGGACUGCGACAAGUGGUGCAAGUCGCCCGGGGGUCACCCCAAAGGAGGGCAGUGCGUGCCGCCGCUCUACCAGUUCUGCUGCUGCAUUGAGUAAUCCAAUCAUGGAGUAUAUAUGUUUCUGAAAUGUUUUGUAAUCGUGUGUAGAAUCAGCAUCAGUAAUAAAAUGUGAGCCUGCUGCAGCUGCGGGAGUUGAAGGUAAUUCUUGGACGUGCGGGGGAGGCUGUAAUUAGGUUUCAGAUAAUACUUGAACGCCUGUCAAUGUUACAGACAGACCACGGGAGCGAACAUACUCGCUAGGCACGUGUCCCGGCCGGCAUGGUAACUGGUCUCUAACGCACCAUCUCGGGAUCAAAGUGCCAUGAAGCACCAGACCACGGUAUUUUGUGGUGAUCACGGUGACGGGAUGGGAUGGUGCUCGAUACCGUCGCCCCCCAUCGUCCACGACCAACUCUAGAUGGUGCUCGUCGCGGCCCCGUCGACGAGCACCAUGACACGGAAAUCUUGCCACUGGACGUGCCAUUACAGCAUUCCUGUGGCGACGUGGCGGCCUUUGUAGUACCUGGAGGUAAAUCAUGCCAUUACAGCAUUCCCUGUCUAGUGUCCAAAAUAUCCGGUGAGGUACAUUCCUGGAGCUUGGCUGGCCUUGCAGGGGCGAUGUGGAUGCCACCCUGUCUAGUAUCCAAAAUAUCUUUCUUCGGCUCUUUCCAUAUUUCUUUAACAUAUUGGCAUUACAAAGAACAAUGCUCCUCAUUUUCCUUUCGAUUACAAAGAUGACAAUCAUACCUUGUUGUGAUUGAUCGCACUUGAAGUUGGAUACCCGUAGGAAGUCAAUUAUGAGCCAUUCUCCAUAAAACCACCUCCAUCUUGUUAGGACAUUGAAUCGCCCAUAAUUUUCUCCAAGCUUUUUCCAUAGUCAACUGAUUUGACGAUGCUUUUUUGGCAUAAUCACUUCGAUUUUCCUAGAAUAGUUGGGAUCUGGCUAGGUUGUAUGCAGAUCUGGCUGAAUAUACUCCAAUCUUAGUGAUGAGUGGCCAAGGCGGAGAAUCAGUACAACCUUCAGAAUUUACUGGAAUAAUGAGGAUCCUCUCUGCAAUCUCUCCAGGAAAGAUGUUGAAUGGAAGUUACCUGCAGGAGAUAACCAAUCGAAGAAACAAAAGUAGUGUAGCUAGAAUUAAUAAAUGCAGGAAAUAUCAGGAUGCCACUAAUAGAAAAACUAAAGCAGUGAGUACAAAAAUACAUGAGCUAGAGCAACAAAAUGCAGUAUAAAGUUACAGUGGUUUUGGAUCAGGGAUAUAACAACACCGUUGUUAAAUAGAUGGUUUACCAACACUGUUGACGCAUUGAUGCGGAAAAUUUAAAAAACAGUUGUACUUUCGAUUUGGAUCCUUUAGAAGAAAAAAAAAGCAGAGCAGAGAAUUAUUCAAGCCUCAUCAAGAUAUUAUGAUUGUUUCUGACUUAUAAUAUAAACCAACUGGGAUAUGAAUCAUCAAAAUUGACCUUUCUCAACCUUCCGAGCUAGCAUAAUCAAUUACAUGCUGCACACAUAUGCAAACUUCUAUAAAUAUAGUCCCUCUGUUCCUAAAUAUAAGUCUUUUUAGAGAUUUCGGUAAGGACUACAUACGGAUGUAUAUAGACAUAUUUUAGAGUGUAGAUUCACUCAUUUUGCUCCGUAUGUAGUCCGCAUUGGAAUCUCUAAAAGACAUAUCUAGGAACGGAGGGAGUAAUAUCAAACCAGAAAAAACAAGAGACCAGAAAACCUUGCAAACACCCAGAGAGGAUUGUAUGUGCGCAAAUCAGAACAUAAGCAACUCUUGCUUCGCCACUCAGAUAAAACAUCAAAAUACUUAGAACACACUAGUGUCUCACUGUCUCAUAUGGCUCUACUUGUUGCACAUCAAAAGGCACAGAACAUUCUACAGCUCAUACCAAGUGUCUUGAACACAUCCAUACUAGAACAUAAAUAAUUCUGGCUUAGCCAAAACAGGUACACACGGAAAUGUCUCAUACAGCCAUACUUGUUGCCCAUCAAAAGGCAUAGAGUAUACUACAACUCAGACUAACACAUCCAUGAGGGAAACAUCCAACGACACAAAUACUAGAAAUGAAAACCAACACAGGUCAAACUGAAACUAAAGGUAGCAUUUUCUACGAACAAUACAUCAUCUCCGUUGGAAUCUUUGUGAAGAGUUCACUUGAAAACGCAACAGAGCACCUCGCUCAUGGCAUCCCAUUUUCAAUCAGCAGAACAUUCAUCAACUGGGAGUUACCAGCCGUAUUCCUCCAUCCAAUGGUAGGCAGGACAAGAGCGGCACAUAUGGGAAAAAUUGCAUAAAUCUAUGGUAGGUAUGGCCAAGGUGACAUACAACUGUGCUUUCUUGACGAUCCAAAUCGUAUGCCAACACUUGAUUGUUCGAAUGAGCUAUGAAGAUGAGAUUGGCAUGUGGGUGUACUCCAAUGACUUCGAGAGACUCCUUAUUUGGAAUUACAUUUGAACACUUGUACAAUUUCCAGUAGAUGCAGUCGUCAUCCUGAUGACACACACCCCAGUUAUAAAUCUCACCACUAAGAGUGUAAACGGAUAUAGUAGUCAAAGAUGUGUCCGAGUCGACAUAAAAUAGGUGCCCAUGAGACUUCCCAAUGAAACCCGAGAAACUGUUAGCUGGCAGCGGGACGAUCCUCCAUUUUAGCCCUUGUGCAUCAACUAUUGCCAACCCGAACACAUCUGCAUCAAAGCAGCUUAGCCCUAUCAGGUGCAAACAUCCGUUACGGAAAACUCUAGGCUGACCAAAGCACAGGCUAACUUGGCUGUCCCAUUUGGGUUCCAUUGCUACCCACGCACCAGUUUUUGAAGAGUAAAUCCUCACUUGUGUCACAACCUGGAAUUGUAUGCCCCGGUGGUCCGGGGGUGACCAGUCCUCUGCAAACUCGAACACAUGAAACCCCUCAGUGGAUGCAUCGCUGUCGAAACCCAGGUAAGCAAUGCUGUCGUUGCCGGCGUGGCCAUUGUGGGGCAGCAGAGUGUACUCACCGGUAGCUGGAUUGGAGACCAUGUAGCGAAAAUUGCCAGCCCCAAUAGAAAUGCGGGCAAGAAACAGUCCAUCGCAGGAAUCAUCGACGGACAUGACGCGGUCCGUGCUGUCGGGCGGCAGCGGCAGCCGCGGGUGGGUCUUGGGGACGCUCGCCCACGGGAAGGCGGACAGGUCGGCGUAGUUGACGCCGGGGAAGGCCGCGGCUUCUUCGGUGAUGCGGUAGAAGAAGCCGGUCAGGGAGUGCACAAUCUUCUUCCUGUAGACGGGGUCGGCGAUGAGGUCGCGCCAGGCCGGGCAGACGCACUUGCAGAUGCAGAGCGAUUUAUAGGGCACGCGAGAGAGGAUCUCCGCGAUUAGGUCGCGGGUGAGCCUGGACAUCGGCUCCUCCACCGGAUUCUCCAUAGCUUGGAAGGGAUGGCCGCUGGAAUAGGUAGGUUUCGACGGGAGAUGGGGCGGCGGCGGCGUGGCUUUUGGGGCUGGGGACUCGACGGAGCGGGGGAGUGGGGAGUGAGUGAUGGUCUCGGAUUGGGGAAAAGGCCCACGAUGAAGCCUCUCCCAUAAAAAAAAGUGGACUUUUUUUUUGCAUUUAUUUUUUAGAGGUUUUUGCUUUGAUAUGAAGAGCGCAUGGUCCUUUUAUUUCAGAAAUUUCCAAAGCUGCGCUGAAAUUUUGAAUUUCUCCAAAAGAAAUCUGGUGUGUGGAUUUUAGAGUGGGUCGUGUACCAGUAAAUGCUUGUGAUUUUUUAUUAAUUUGUUGCCUGGAUAUAAAAAACAAGGACGUGGCUAGCGGGCGCUCGGGCGCCUGCCGGUGAGAUCGAGCGCUCUUUCAAAUAUGGAAGGAGCAGCCGACGCGUCUGAUGUGAUUCACCAAAAAAAGAAUCUUAUCUGCAUGUUCAUUUAUUUGGGUGUUCAAAAAGUUUUUAAAAAUGUAACUUUUGAUUGAAGCGUCGAAAUUCAGUUUCGUUUUCACAUUUGGGUUUCUCACGACGAGUUCUUCAAAACUAGAUCUCAUAUUGAUAGGUUUCAUCGAACCUUUUUUCGAGGCACCUUUGGGUCCGAUGGAGACAACUUUAGUGCUAUAGGAAGGCAACUUCAUUUUUUUCCUAGUAGGACUACCUAUUAGGUUGGUUAGUGUAAAAAUGAGAAAAUCACACAAAAUAUGAGGUACCUUUAGUGCUACAUAUAAGAAACUUCAUUGCACUACGUGUAUCGAUGAAUUUUGCUAACAUUAUCGCAACUUGGCUACCAUAGCUGCUUAGUUGCCUACCCUGGAUGUUUAGUUGGCUAUCAUUGAUGUCCAGUUGCCUACAAUACUAUGAAACUGACCUAUCAUUGAUGUCCAGUUAACUGCUAUUGAUAAUUAGUUACCUACCAUUGCUGCUCAGUUGUCUAACUUUGUAAUUAGUUCACUACAAUGAUGCUUAUCAUUGUUUUUUUUUCUAAGUUUCUUAAAAACACUAUGAAGUUGCCUAUCAGGGAUGCUCAGUUGACAGCCAUUACUAUUUCAGUUGCCUAAAAUAUAUUAAAAAGUUGUCAGUCAAUGUUGCUAAGUUCCCAUUAUAUGAAACUAAGUUGUUUAUCCUAUCAAAAAGGUAUUCUAUGCAACAUAGGAUAAGGUUAGACUACUCACUAAUCAUGGCAGGCGACUUAGGAUAGGCUACCUCGGAAAGUAAGUUUCCUAUAGCACUAUCAAUUUGGAGAUGAAGCUAGUUAUGGUAGAAUACUUGGUGGUUGUGGUAGAAAACUUUGAGAUUGUUAUGCACUCGAGUGGUACACAGAAAAAGUUAGCAACUUUUGAGGUGUAUUUAUAUAGCCAUAGUGCACUCACCAGACAACUCAUGUGUACUCUGAGUUGGUAUCUAGAAAAAAGCAACCACAUGUGAAAAAGUCUAAGUUCACCAUUGAUGGGGUUAUUGGAGGCAAAACAAGAAUAAUAACUUUAAGAUCGUUAUGCACUUGAGUAUCACACAAAAAAAGUUAGCAACUUUUAGGGUGUUUUUGUGCAACUCUAGUGUAUUCAACAAGCAACUCAUGUGUGUUUUCCAUUAUUAUAUCUAGAGAUUCAAUUUUUUUUUGCUGGCAACUUGUGCCAAAAGUAUGAAAGACUUGUGUAAUUUUGCGGGAAACUGUUUGAUCCACCCCUUAUGAAAUUCUCAUCACCCCCUAUGCAACUUCUCAUCUAUCCCCACUUUCUCAACUAGCCAACACCCGCGAACUAGCUAGCCAACACGCACACGCUCAUUUGCGUAGGUGGGCAGACUAUCCCAGAAAAGGAAAGAAAAAGGUUCUCAUACCAUUCAUCCCCACAUCGUUUCCUAAUUUGGAAUCAUGAUAGACAACUUAGAUCCCACAAAAACUUUUCGACAUUGUAGGCAACUUAUAUCCCUUGAUAGACAACUUCCAUAGUAUUUUAGGCAGUUGGGAAUCAUCCGUAGGCAACUUCAUAGCAACAUAGGCCACUUGAUUUCCGAGGGAGGCAAUUUAGAAGCCAUGUCAGACAACUUUCCACUCUACGGUAAACAACUUCAUAGUAUCAUUGGCAACUAAACUAUUUACAAAUUAGUUUUCGAUGUAUGCAACUUAGCAACCAUGGUAACCAUCUAUUAGAAUAUUGCACAAAACUAUUAAUAGGCUACUAGGUGAAUUCACUAAUACACACGAUGCAAUUCAUCUAGCAUCAAAGUUGCUCCUGUUUAGCACUAAAAUUGCCUCAUCUAGCAUCGAAGUUGCUUUUGAAAAAUUCACAACGCAACUGCCCCCCUAGCAAAAUUCACACAAUUGUUCUAGUAAGAUUCAAAUCAACUAUCCCUAAUAAAAAUCCAAGCAACUAUCCUAGCAAAUCCAAGUAGUUGUAAUUCCAAAACACAAUGCAAAAUUAUUAUAAGCAACUGUCCUAGCAAAACCAAGCAACUGUCUUGAAAAUCCAAGCAAUCGCAUUACCAAAAAACACCGUGCAAAACUGUCCAAGCAAAAACCAAGCAACUUCCCUAACCAAACCAGGCAAUUGCAUUACGACACGAUGCAACUCUUCUAGCAUAUCCAAGCGACUUAUUUAUCCCCAUAAUUGAUUGCAAAAAAUUGCCCCACUAAUUCAAACAAAAAUGACAUGCAUUUGGGCAAGGACCGUGGUUUUUUCAUAACAGGCAACUUCAUAACAAUGGUUGGCAACUAGGGAGAAAUGUUUUAUCUCCUUGUGCAAAAUAUGGAUAGGCGAUAAUAGGACAAUGUAUGCAUAAUAUAUGUUGAACGCAAGUUGCUUCUUUACUAUUGAAGGUUGCCUCCAUGUAAUUUUAAAGUUGCCUACGAAUGAUGCUCAGUUGCGUACAUACGAUGAAAAUUUGUCUCAUAUGGUUUUUAUGUUGUCUACGAUAUACUUGUUAGGUAAAUUCACUAUACACAUAAUGCAAGGAAGUUGCUUCUGUUUAGUACUAAAAUUGCCUCGACUAGAACCAAAGUUGCUUUUAAAAAAAAAUCAUCGAAACAUAUACAUAUGAGAUCUAGUUUUAAAGAUCUCGUCGCGAGAAACCUAAUAAUGAAAACGGAUUUUCAUUUUGACACUCGGUUCAAAAGUUAUAGCUUUUAAAAAAUUAAGAUGGAAUAAAGUGUGAUGACACAGCACAUGCAUGCAGGUAAUCCUUAGUGAUCAUCCACACCUGACAACGCCAGACACAUUGCAAGGAGGAAGGAGGCCGUUUUCUUAGCAGUUUUGUCGCGUAGCAGGUGCGCAAGCAUGGGACAGCUCGCGUGUGCGCUCGCGACGUCCAUCCGGCGCAGCUGCGCGAUUAAGAAUUCAGAAAAAAAACAAAAGCGAAUAACUAGCCAUUAUCACAUAGAAAAGUGCUUGGUUUUAUUUUUAUUUUUUACAGGUCACAAAAAAAUUGCUAUUUUCAUAAACUUUAAAUCUGGAAACAUACUUGAGUCACUUGGACGUGAGACUUUAAAAUGUAACAGUAUGAACUUAGUUAGAGAAGUACAUGCUCCCAAAUGCACCUCAUAUUUUCCCCGUUUACAUAAUGAAUUAUGUCACUUAUUUUUAAAUCAAAAUUGAGUACUACUUUUUUUCCAGGCAUUUCCCUUGUUUUUUUAACAGACAUUUCCCAUGAUAUUUUUUUAGAAUCUUCCCAUGAUUUUGGACUAGGCUUCCUCACAGGAGGCUGCUUGCUGGAAGUAGAGGCUAGGCACUAUGAAACAUGAUACUGAGGAAAAAAAUCACAGCACCCACAUUGAUCAUCGACAAGUGGCGGAGAUCAUAUAUUUCUGAGUUGACGUCGACAGCAUCUCACGCCUAUUGGAGCCUGCUGAACUGAUGCCAAUCAGCGACACAAAAUCGAUAUAAGCCUGGAUAUUUUCAGCAACGCGAAGGAACCAUCACGACAUCAGUACCAGCACAAAAAUCAAGCAGUGGAACUCUGAUGCUUCAGUAAUCCAGUUCACUAACCAUUGCCUGAUAUGAACAAAAUACUGAAGCUUCAGGCAAAUACCAUAAUCUUUCUUCGGAUCUUUCCAUAUUUACGACACAUUAUUGGCAUUACAAAAAAAAACAAUGCUCAAUUUCCUCUCGAUUAAAAAGAUGGCAACCAUACCUUGUUAGGGUUGCUCGCACAUGAAUAAAACCACCUUCAUCUUGUUAGGACAUUGAAUUAUCAAUAGUUUUCUCCAACCGUUUUCCAUAGUCCCCUAGUUUGAUGAUGUUACUUUGGCAUCAUCACUUUGAUUUUCUCGGAGUAGCUGUGAUCUGGUAAGGUUAUAUGCAUAUCUGACUGAAUAUAUUCCACACUUAAGUGCGAGGCCAAGAGGAAAAUCAGUACAACCUUCAGAGCUUCAAUGGAAGUUUCCUGAGGAUCCUCUCUGCAAUCUCUCCGGGAUAGAGGUUCAACGGAAGUUUCCUGAGGAAAGGAGAUAACCAAUCGAACAAAGAAAAGUAGCGUAGCCACAAUUAAUAAAGGCAGGAAAUAGUAGUAUACCACUAAUAAAGAUACUAAAGCAGUGAGUACAAUAAGACAUAGGUUAGAGCAACAAAAGGGAGUAUACAGUUAUAGUAGUUAUACCUUAAGUAAAAUAUUAGCAUCAGUACAGUUACUUUAAUACUAGCAAAAAUAAGUGUCAAGUGCUAACCUUAACAAGCACCAGCUCAAAAGUGGUAACCCUAACACAUUCUUAUCUACUAGAAAGAACAACUCCAUUAUUUUACUAAACAUGCCUCUAAAAUGUUUAGUUCUACUCUAAAACAGAGUGAUCAGCCAACUAAAACAGAGUGGCAAGUCGACUUUUCUGAUUAGCCUGAGAAAGCAAGACUAGUACAUUUUAUUUUGCACAUUGUCCAGCAGAGACGAGAGUACGAGAACGCACCUACGAAGGCUAACAUUUGCAGUUUCGUAAACCCUCCUUAUCAUUACUUUCUAGGUAUUGACAAGUAAAAAGCUUUAUAUCAGGGAUAUUAUUUCAUCCCAAAUUGUUGGAACUGGAACAGAGUUAAACAGAUGGUUUCCCAACACAGUUGACUCAUGGAUGUGGAAAAUUAAACUAGAUAAUCCAGCCAUAGUUUUAAUUUGAAUCCUUUAGAAGAAAAAUAUAGCAGGAAAUUUUUCAUGCAUCAUCAAGAGAUUAUGAUCAUUUCGGAUACUGACCUUUAUCGACCUUUUGAGCUAAAAUGAUCACAUUACAUGAUGCACACAUAUGCAAACUUCUAUGAAUAUAACAUCAAACCAGAAAAAACAAGAGACCAAGAAAAUCUUAGCAGUGCAAACACCUAGAUAGAAUUGUAUGUGUGCACAUCAGAACAUAAGCACCUGUUGUUUAGCCACUCAGGUAAAACAUUACAAAUAAAUAAAUCAAAUUAGAACAUACUAGUAUCUCACUGCCUCAUAUGGCUCAUACUUGUUGCACAUCAAAAGACACAGGACAUUCUACAGCUCAUACCAAGUGUCUUGUACACAUCCAUAGUAGAAGAUAAAUAAUUCUGGCUUAGCCAAUAGAGGUACACACGGAAAUGUCUUGUACAUCCGUACUUGUUGCCUUAUCAAAAGGCACAAAGCAUACGACAAAUCGCACUAACACAUCCAUGAGGGAAACAUCCAACGAGACAAAUACUAGAAAUGAAAACCAAUGCAGAGAUCAAACUGAAACUAAAGGUAGCAUUUUGUAUGAACAAUAGAUCAUCUCUGUUUGAAUCUCUGUGAAGAGUUCACUUGAAAACGCGACGGCCAACUGAGCACCUCGUCCAUAUCAGCAGAAC
rnacentral:lncRNA from 1 species